CUGACCUCUGCUUGUUUUGGCCAGUGGGAAAUGCUAUGCUCACUCUACUAAAAGAAAAACCAAAGCCCAGGACUUGUCUAAUGAAACAAUGAAUUAAUGACAGUUCUUGGAAGAGGAAUCAGUACAUAUGAUUUGCAAGGUUUAAACAGAUUUUUGGCACCAGGGUAUAAUCCCUGUCUAAUAUGAAAGGUAGUCUUCCACCCAGGGCCCAAAAGUACUGGGAAAGUUGGCAUUCUUCUGACACUUGAGUAAGGAAUCUUUAUUAUUAUAUGAUCCCAAAACUCAAAAAAAAAAAAACAAAAACGGUUUUAAGGUACUUAAGACAAUGAAGAAACCCCUAUAGCUUGGGAAAAAUUCACAAAAAUUCUUUUCUAACUAGUGCUUAGCAGAUGCUCACUGACUAAUUUUUCACCAAAAAGCUUACUGCUGAUUAGGAAAAUAUCAAAAGGCUAGCAUGUGGAGAAAGACAAUGAAUCUUGAUUUGAAUAAGGUCUCUACUGAUCAAUUCUUUUUCAUUCCAUUUAGCCCCUUUAAAGUCUUUUUGCCUCUGUUCCCUUCCUUUCCUUUCCCUAUCCUUCCUCACUAACCCCCCCCCCAAAAAAACCACAUAAAAAUCAGCACAAAUUCAUUAGAUGGGGCUGAGAAAGUAGAUAUCCAUACAAGAGGGUAGGGAGCAAAGCUGCCGAGUCUGAGAGGGCAAAAGGGACAUCCAGACAGGGUGUCAGGCCAGCAGGAGCUAUUAGAGCCCAGGCAGGAUGAGGAGAGUAUCCAUGUGAUGUGAGGGGAAUGUCUGGGGAGCGUAACUGGGGAUCUCUGGUCCUUCUUGGUACAGCACCGAAGCGAUGCAGGAAACUGGGCCAUCUGGAGGACACUGCAGACGCGACAGUGGCAGUUGCAGUCACACGGAGAAGAAAUGUCUUUUUCCUUGUGGAACUGCAGGGCUGGCCGCACACCGGCCCCUCGUGACGAGAGGAGAAUUCAAUUCAUAACCUCUCUGUGUUCCUUGGGCGGCACAUGCAUACUUGCUGACUUCUGUAAGGCUUGCUUGUACUCAGCUUCUCAGCCCUUUGUCCAUAUUUGAGCAAAGAACACCAAAUUCCAUUUCUAACACCCCUGUUAAGAGAAAAUUAAACCUUCGGUCUCUAGGGUGCUCUGCAGACCCGGGAACGAUGAUCCCAACCUGGGAAAACUGUUCUUCCUGAUGAGGCUGAAACAGAAACAAAUAUAUGGUUUGAUUCCAAUCCCCAAAAUGUGCCUACUAAACAUUUAAACAUUCCAUCUCUGCUAAUCUAUUUUAGAACGGGAGAUAUAGAAGCAAAUACCGAAGUUAGGAUGAAUAUUAGGCCACAGAGCUCAGCUAACUCACCACUUGAGAAGCCAGCUCUAAUGUUUUACUGUAAAUAGAAGAAUGUUUUGUAUCAUUGUCCCACCAUCCUUUAAAUAGGAUAUAGACCAUUCAAUCAUCAUUCGUGCUGCUGGGCAUGUUUAUAAUAAUUAUAUGAAAAUAAUUUUCAUUCUAGUAAAACAGAAGUCCUGAUCCUUUCGGAAUUAUUGGGAGGAGACUUCCCACUUUAUGGUCACCCUGCUCUAUUCACUGGUCCCCGUGUGGUGAGAUGACAAGAAUGUGCCUUCCAUUGGCCCACACUCCUCUACGGGCCAGUUUACUAAUUUGCAAC
rnacentral:lncRNA from 1 species